UAACAUGACUUCAAAGACCAGGCUCUUCC
rnacentral:piRNA from 1 species